GAUUAACGCUAGCGGCAGGCCUAAUACAUGCAAGUCGAACGGCAGCACGGGUAGUAAUACCUGGUGGCGAGUGGCGCACGGGUGCGUAACGCGUAUGCAACCUACCUAUAACCGGGGAAUAGCCUUCUGAAAGGAAGAUUAAUACCGCAUAAUAUCACUGGACGGCAUCGCCCGGUGAUCAAAACUCCGGUGGUUAUAGAUGGGCAUGCGUGACAUUAGCUAGUUGGUGAGGUAACGGCUAACCAAGGCUACGAUGUCGAGGGGGUCGGAGAGGAUGAUCCCCCACACUGGUACUGAGACACGGACCAGACUCCUACGGGAGGCAGCAGUAAGGAAUAUUGGACAAUGGGCGCAAGCCUGAUCCAGCCAUGCCGCGUGAAGGAUGACGGCCCUCUGGGUUGUAAACUUCUUUUAUACGGGAAUAAACCCCUCGAUUCUUCGGGGGCUGAAUGUACUGUAAGAAUAAGGAUCGGCUAACUUCGUGCCAGCCGCCGCAGUAAUAC
rnacentral:rRNA from 1 species